rnacentral:rRNA from 1 species
CAGUCGAGGGGUAUAGUUCUUCGGAACUAGAGACCGGCGCACGGGUGCGUAACGCGUAUGCAAUCUACCUUUUACAGAGGGAUAGCCCAGAGAAAUUUGGAUUAAUACCUCAUAGUAUAUAGCCCUGGCAUCAGGAUUAUAUUAAAGUCACAACGGUAAAAGAUGAGCAUGCGUCCCAUUAGCUAGUUGGUAAGGUAACGGCUUACCAAGGCUACGAUGGGUAGGGGUCCUGAGAGGGAGAUCCCCCACACUGGUACUGAGACACGGACCAGACUCCUACGGGAGGCAGCAGUGAGGAAUAUUGGACAAUGGGCGCAAGCCUGAUCCAGCCAUGCCGCGUGCAGGAUGACGGUCCUAUGGAUUGUAAACUGCUUUUAUACGAGAAGAAACACUCCUUCGUGAAGGAGCUUGACGGUAUCGUAAGAAUAAGGAUCGGCUAACUCCGUGCCAGCAGCCGCGGUAAUACGGAGGAUCCAAGCGUUAUCCGGAAUCAUUGGGUUUAAAGGGUCCGUAGGCGGUUUAAUAAGUCAGUGGUGAAAGCCCAUCGCUCAACGGUGGAACGGCCAUUGAUACUGUUAGACUUGAAUUAUUAGGAAGUAACUAGAAUAUGUAGUGUAGCGGUGAAAUGCUUAGAGAUUACAUGGAAUACCAAUUGCGAAGGCAGGUUACUACUAAUUGAUUGACGCUGAUGGACGAAAGCGUGGGUAGCGAACAGGAUUAGAUACCCUGGUAGUCCACGCCGUAAACGAUGGAUACUAGCUGUUGGAAGCAAUUUCAGUGGCUAAGCGAAAGUGAUAAGUAUCCCACCUGGGGAGUACGUUCGCAAGAAUGAAACU